CCUACGGGAGGCAGCAGUAAGGAAUAUUGCUCAAUGGGCGAAAGCCUGAAGCAGCAACGCCGCGUGCACGAUGAAGGCCUUCGGGUCGUAAAGUGCUUUUCGGGCAGAUGAGGAAGGACAGUAUCCCCGGAAUAAGGUACGGCUAACUACGUGCCAGCAGCCGCGGUAAAACGUAGGUACCGAGCGUUAUCCGGAUUCACUGGGCGUAAAGCGCGUGCAGGUGGUUUGGUAAGUCGGGCAUGAAAACUCUUGGCUCAACUAAGAGACGCUGUCCGAUACUGCCGGACUUGAGGGUGUAAGAGGGAGGUGGAAUUCCGCAUGUAGUGGUGACAUGCGUAGAUAUGCGGAGGAACACCAGUGGCGAAGGCGGCCUCCUGGCACACUCCUGACACUCAGACGCGAAAGCUAGGGGAGCGAACGGGAUUAGAUACCCGGGUANUC
rnacentral:rRNA from 1 species